GCAGCCGCGGUAAUACGGAGGGUGCGAGCGUUAAUCGGAAUUACUGGGCGUAAAGCGCAUGCAGGUGGUUUGUUAAGUCAGAUGUGAAAGCCCGGGGCUCAACCUCGGAACUGCAUUUGAAACUGGCAGACUAGAGUACUGUAGAGGGGGGUAGAAUUUCAGGUGUAGCGGUGAAAUGCGUAGAGAUCUGAAGGAAUACCGGUGGCGAAGGCGGCCCCCUGGACAGAUACUGACACUCAGAUGCGAAAGCGUGGGGAGCAAACAGGAUUAGAUACC
rnacentral:rRNA from 1 species